AUGAACAAUUUGGUUGGUGUGGCAGGAGAAAAGAAAUCAGGAAAUGGUGGGCAUGGCGAAUUAAUAAGGGGUGAUGGCCAUUUCCUCGCGGGAGGGAGGGAGAUCGAGCAGGGAGGUGAGGUCGAUCGGGUCGCGCGCGGUUGCCGGACGGACGGGCCAGGGCGGCCACCGCGCGCUGACCACGAAACUGCACCAAAUCUGAAGGAGUUGAAGCUAGAUUUGCCCCCAUCUCUCAUGCUACCACCACGAUGGCAAAGAAUGAAGGGUGGAAAGAUUCCUCUCAAUGAGACUGAAGACCAUCUAGCUUGGAACUAUGAGAAAAAUGGCAUCUUCACGGUUACUGAGAUGCAGUCGUCACCAGAUAGGAAUAUACAACCAAAAUAUCACUCGUCUAGACCCCAAGGAGCUUGCAUUAAACUGAACGUCGAUGCUUCUUUUGUUUCAGUUUUGGGCUCGGCGUGGGCAGGGGCGGCUGCUCGCGAUAGCGCGGGAUCGGUGGUAUUUUCUGUAGGCUGUCAUCUUCAGGCAUAUGAAUAUGCAGAGGAAGCAGAGGCAAGCGCCCUUGUGAUUGGACUCAAGUGUUUGAGAAAUGUUUACAGGGGACAGGUGUACAUUGAGUCUGACUGUGCUGCUGUUGUGAAUGCUAUGAACAUUGAAGGAAGGAACAAAGCCAAGUGGCGGGAUAAGUACGAAGAGGCUAAAAACCUGAUGCGUGACUUCAGUCUAUCUAAGGUACCGAUAACUUCAUUUGCUGAAAGAACACCUUCUGGUUCGAUAAAGCUUGGUUCUCUACUAAGAAAAUACUUAUUGAUAGGUUACUACACCCUUAUACCUGGGUGUUAUCCAACCACUCUUAAUUAUGAGAGAGCAAGCAACAUGGAACAAAGUUUGUGGCUCGACCAGAUCCGGGAUCCUCGUCGAGCCCUCUCUUCGCCGCUGUCCUUCUUCCACGAAGCUCCCUCGUGCUCCUCCGCCUCCCGCCCGUCAGCUACGUCGGCCUCGACCGACGCGAUGGCUCCUUGUCCGCUCCCCCGGCCUGCGUCCGCAUCGGCGGCGGCUGCAGCUGCCUCUCCGGCCUUGCUGCGCGUUGGCUCUGCGUCCGCGUUGGCUGCUGCUGCUCCAGCCGAGGUGAGCGCCGGCUCUGCGCCCCUGUGGGAGGCGGCGGCCGCCGCGGCCUUGCUGGGUGUCGCCUCGGCAUCCGAGCCGCCCCUGUUCGUUGUCCCGGCAUCCCAGACGACCUCAAUGCUGCUGCCGUCUGCCUUGCCCGGUGACCCGUCUGGUCCGGGCGAUGUGGUGAUGCCCGUCACAGUGCAGGGAGCUCCCAAUGCUCUGGCAGCAGCCUCCCAAUGCAGUCUGCAGCUCGUCCCAAUCACUCCACUUGCGCCGCUUCAGACGUCGACUACAUCGCCCACCGCCGCCGCUCUAGCGGCGGAUGCCCUUGCUCGGCGCAGGUCGGACCCGGCCAUUAGUGGGCUUAUGGCCGGUGCUCGUCCCAAUUGCGGUCGUGGCCUGCAGGCCACCACCCCGGCUCCUCUUGCCACCGGCCAGCUGCCGUCGUCCCCGGUGUCGACGCCUACACCCUUGACGGGGCCAGGUCAGGUGGCCGCUCCCGUGCUGUCUGGUUGGGGGGACUGGCUAGGAUGCUUCGGAAGGAAGACGACGUCCGCUGAUCCCAUGUGUUGUGCGCCAACAGCUCGUGAGGAAACAUUGGGAGACUGGCACCUCGUUACCGGCCGCCGCCGUUCGCCAUCUUCAAAUGCCUUCCGUCGGCCCGGUUCCAAUGCCCGGAUGGCUCCUCCGGCGUGGCUCCGGGAUCGAUGCUUUCGGUGUCUCUCCAAAGGUCAUCACGCUCACUCUUGCAGGGACCCAAUUCGGUGCUCAGGAUGCCUUCGUUUCGGCCACAAAGUGCGUUUUUGUCAUGCUCAGCACCGAUCCGAUCUGACUACAAAGCCGCGUGAUGAUGCUGCAAAGCCUAACCCAGCGCCUGCAUCAGAGGUUGACGCGACACCGGUUGACGUGCAAUUGCAACCCGUCCUAGCGGAGGAGACCGAGCUGCUUCGCACUGAGCUGCGCGACUGCCUUGCGCGAGUCGAGAGUGUUUUGGGGAGAGCAGAGGCUGCUCUCGCCAAACUAAAGGUUGUGCCAGCUGUGUCCUUGCUUCCUGAGCUUCAGAUCGGGUCUCCUGUUGGGGAGGAAGCAAGCCUCUAUGGACAUUUCUCCCCUCAUGCUACAUCAUGUUCGCCGAUGUCUAUACUGCUCACUGGCCCUGGGUGUGUAGUCAUCGAUGAGGUCAUGGCUCCAGUGCUGGAGAUUAUGCCUGAGUUGCAGGAGUGUUGUGGGGAGCCUACUUCACCUCUUUCAAUGGUUGGAUCAUUCUGGUCUACAAUUCACUUCAUCAGCGACGGUUGCUAUUUUGGUGUGCUGGUUCUACAAGACUUUAGCACGAUGACUUUCAAACUGUCUAUUACAACAAGGUUUUCCUGGUUCCGGUGA
rnacentral:rRNA from 1 species